AAGCACAGGGGAGGUUAACAGGGGCUCUUCAGAGUCCUCUGAACUUGAGAGAAUAAUCUUCAAGCAGAUAGAAGGAUGCAACUUCCCAUUCUCUUGAAGACCGACUCCCAGCCUAAUUCCCAAUUCCCAGGUUCCAGAAUGCUACAGGGAAGGGAUACUUCCAGGAUGGGCCUGGUGUCCCAUGGCCUGGAGGCUCUCCUUGGACUUGGGUUUUGGGAGAGGCUGGAUGUCGAUCCUGAAGUACCAUAGGGGUCAAGGCGAGAAGGGCUAAGAGCUUGGAUCAGGCAAUAACGCUGAAAUUCAACGGGGACCCAAAUACCUCCAUCCUUGUCCCCCUUGGGUCUACACACACAAAAAUUCAAACAGAUCCCCUGUCAAGAUAAAUGCUGUUGAAAUAACUUCCAAAGCCACAGCUUAGGUGAAGACCGUAAGAAAAGGAGAAGGAAAAUAAACAGAUACUCAAGUAAAAGUAAACUGGGAUUGAUCAGUAAAAUUAUAGUAACGGCAUUUUGUUUCAGAGAGUUCCCCAGGAUUUCAUUGAUGGAAAAGAAAGGCAAUACACCAAAACCCCGAUCUCCCCAGAAAUAAAGACAUCUGUGAAAACCACGAUCCGACCACUAGAUUUUUUACAAGCCUAGCUGGGCACAGAAUAGGCUCUUGGCCUCUUCCUUCUCCCAGCUCUUCUCACAACUUACUGGGCAGUUAAGACCCUAGCGGAACAGAACCUUAACAAGCAUUAAUAAAGACCACAAACCUCAGCCAGAGGCUUCUUCUAACAUACUGUUUAACAGUAAACAGGGGAAAAAAAUGCUAUUUAUCAGAGUCUUUGGGCCCACUGCCCCUUUAAGCUGUCCUACCCACCCCAGGAAGACAGGGCCUUUAAACAUAAGGUCCUAGGUGCAGGCAGUAGAAAUGCUAAGACAACUAGAUAAUCCAGCCACUCUACACCUUGGUCUUAAAAAGCAAGGACAGAAAGACAGCAGGUAGCAGUUAUGACUUCCCCCCUCACCUUAGUAUCCAUGAACUUGAUGUAUUUGAGUCCAUAAUUGAACGUUAUCUCAUACAUACUGUGGUAUAGUAAUAUAUUUAUUCCUUAUAUUUGAAUUAUUUUAAAAGGAGUUUCUCUACAUUUCAGCAGCUACUCUGCUGAUAUAUGAUAGUCUUUUCCUUGUUUUUCAACAAAUUGUUUUUAAAAAGCCAAACAACUAUUAAGACAGCUUAGUGUACAUAAAUUUUCUGUGGUGGAUUCUCCUAUACAAAUAUUUCGGUGUAAUUUUCUCUCUUUUAACUUCAGAAAUGAAUAACUACUUCAGUGCCAAGAGUAUAUUAGCACAUCUGAAAAGUAUUCAGAUGCCUGUAACAUAACUUACCCUACUUGGAAGUAUUGUUUAAAAAUUGAGUUAUUAUUCAUAUACCUCCUACAUUGGCCUACAAAGAGAGGGAAAAACACAACCUAAUGCGAUGAUAGUGACACCCUUUAAAAAUUCUCUGUGGAGGGGCUGCAACAGAAAUCAAGUUUUAUCAAAACACUGGUUAUUUGUCCUGAUUCUAUAUUCCACUUUAAGUUGGAGAUAAUACUAACUUAAUAUAGCAUUCUUCCCCCUAAAAAGCAUAAUCAGCUUUUCUUCAACAUGGAGGCUUAAGUGGAUUUAUUCACCCUAUGCAAAUGUUGCUUUUUAGAACAUUGUGUUUCUGCACAGGCUAAGCAUUUAUUGUGCAGAAUAAACGGCUGGGACGUUGCAAGCUUCACCACUGCUCACGAUAAAGAGAAGCAUUAAGAAUCAGGCCCAGAAAAGGCAGAUACCAUGUGGAAAGAAAGGUAGAAAAGCCAGCACGAGGGGAGAUGGAGGAAGAAAAUAGAAAAAAAGGAAAGGGUGAUAGAAUUGCCUAUUUUAUUCGCGGGGUGGGCAGGUGGGGGAAGAGCCAAUUCUACCUGAGUAGGAAGGGUGAGAGGCCCCAGUGUUUACAUUUCAGACGCUGACAGUGGGGUCACGUCGGAAUUUAACUACUUAUAGGGUUUUAGAGAGUGAGGGAAGCUAUGUGUGAGAACUCCAAGUCCAGCUCCAAGAAAGGUUAUAAAUGGAAUUGGGGGCACAUGGGUCAGGAAACGGGCCUUCUGGAGUGGUCGGGGGAUUAUUUCCUUUGAUCAGCCUGUCCCGGGAUCCCCGGAUAACUGCCCGCCCCCCCCCCCGCCCCUCCAAAAAGGGAGAGCGUUGCGGUGGGGAGGGGAGUCCGGGCUGGCCCCCACUGGACACGAGGAUCGAUGGCUCAGCGGCCCAGGGACCGCCAAGAGCACCCAGCGCGGAUCCGAGCAUCAAGGGGCGGGCGCUCGCAUCCCUGCCGCAGGGACCGGCGAGGCCCAGGCCGCCGCCGCCGCCGCCGCCGCCGCGAGCCGAGCGGGGACGCAGUCCUGCGCGCUGGGAACCCGAAAACCAAACGGCCCGGGUCCCCGCCCCCGGGGGAACCGGAGGGCCGGCACCCGCGCCGUCAGCUUCCAGCUCAGUGCGCGAAGCGGCAGAGCACGGCCCCAGCUCGGGGCAAUCUCCGGGCCGGGAGGGAAGGUCCCCUCCCCUCGGAGGUGAAAAGGCCGCAAGGGCCUGAGGUUGCGGGCGCCGUCAGGGGGUUCCCCUUGCGGGGGGCGGGGGGCGCUUCACCGCCACAACCCCAGGCCUCCGUCUGGUCGGGAAGUGCUGGGCCCUGGGGCCAGCCGCUGGCUUAGAGGGGCCGUGGAGGUUUUAUGAGAGCCCGGUGGGAAAUCUCCUUUUGGAAACAUCAUUUAAGGCGGGCCGAUCCCGAUGAGAAAACAACGUAGCUGGCAGACCGGCCUCCGGGGAAAACGGGCUCCCAGCCUGGGGGCAUCGGCCAGGCCACAGACGGCCUGGCGGGUCCCGGCGGCAGGAGCGAGGCCUGGGGUUCCAGACUCGGGCCCCCCGGGCCCGGCUCCUCGCGCAGAUUCCCCGCCCCUCCCCGUAGCCUCGGCCGCUGGCCAGGCGUUGGGGCCCCCGCCUGGCGGCUGCUUCCUCGUCACCGCCGCCGCCACCGCGCCGAUAAAUCAGCCAAGUAAUUGCCGAACGUAAACUCCAGUUACUUAAGUGUCCUCUGAGGGGUAAUCUCGUCUGUCCUUAUAAAUCCCGACCGAGCUCGCGCUCAUCGGCGCUCCGGCCCUGCGCGCGCGCCCACCCGGCGCCCGAGGCCGCAGCUGCCCUCACCCCAAAAGGGGGCACGCCCCCGCCCCCACCUAAGGCAGGGGCGGGGCGGGCGGGCGGGAAGGGGCCCCACCGCGGGCGGUGGGCCUCAAGGAGCCUCUGCAGCCCGCCCCGUCCUCCUCUUGGGAAAACUUUCUCCAAAAUGACGGAAACCAAUUUCUCAGCACCCUCUAGGGCCCGUGUGAUAAAACGUGUGACGGCGCGUGUGAGUAUAGGGUCAACAGGUGCUCCUCGGGGAACCUGGAUUUCCAGACUUCUCUGCUGCACCCCGAACCCCAACCGGUUCCCGGCCCCAGACCAAGGCGCGAAGAGGGUGGGAAGACGCGGUCAACGCCGAGCCGGCCGGAACCCAGCGGCCACGCCGCGCUCCGCUGCCCGGAGGCGGCCGAACCCGGUCUCGGGGUGCCCAGGCGGGCGCUCAUGGCUCCCCGCUGUUCCGAGGGCCGGGAAGGAGGUGUACUGCGGCUCCCCGGUGCCCUCCGGUCGUCCCUGGACUCAGCCAAGUCUCCUCGCGAUGGGUGUGGGCAAUUAAUAAAUUCUAUGGGAAGUGAAUUGGA